ACGGGUGAGUAAUGUCUGGGGAUCUGCCCGAUAGAGGGGGAUAACCACUGGAAACGGUGGCUAAUACCGCAUAACGUCGCAAGACCAAAGAGGGGGACCUUCGGGCCUCUCACUAUCGGAUGAACCCAGAUGGGAUUAGCUAGUAGGCGGGGUAACGGCCCACCUAGGCGACGAUCCCUAGCUGGUCUGAGAGGAUGGCCAGCCACACUGGAACUGAGACACGGUCCAGACUCCUACGGGAGGCAGCAGUGGGGAAUAUUGCACAAUGGGCGCAAGCCUGAUGCAGCCAUGCCGCGUGUAUGAAGAAGGCCUUCGGGUUGUAAAGUACUUUCAGCGGGGAGGAAGGCAGUGAGGUUAAUAACCUUGUUGAUUGACGUUACCCGCAGAAGAAGCACCGGCUAACUCCGUGCCAGCAGCCGCGGUAAUACGGAGGGUGCAAGCGUUAAUCGGAAUUACUGGGCGUAAAGCGCACGCAGGCGGUCUGUUAAGUCAGAUGUGAAAUCCCCGGGCUUAACCUGGGAACUGCAUUUGAAACUGGCAGGCUUGAGUCUCGUAGAGGGGGGUAGAAUUCCAGGUGUAG
rnacentral:rRNA from 1 species